AGUUAUGGAGCUUUGUGCUGGUGGAGAGCUUUUUGAUAGGAUCGUUGAGAAGGGGCAUUACAGUGAAAGGGAAGCUGCGAAGCUUAUUAAAACUAUUGUUGGAGUGGUUGAAGGUUGUCAUUCGCUAGGGGUCAUGCAUAGAGACCUCAAACCUGAGAAUUUCUUGUUUCUCAGUUCAGAUGAAGAUGCUGCUCUCAAGGCCACUGAUUUU
rnacentral:misc_RNA from 1 species